GAUGAACGCUGGCGGCGUGCCUAAUACAUGCAAGUCGAGCGAACGGACGAGAAGCUUGCUUCUCUGAUGUUAGCGGCGGACGGGUGAGUAACACGUGGAUAACCUACCUAUAAGACUGGGAUAACUUCGGGAAACCGGAGCUAAUACCGGAUGAUAUUUUGAACCGCAUGGUUCAAAAGUGAAAGACGGUCUUGCUGUCACUUAUAGAUGGAUCCGCGCUGCAUUAGCUAGUUGGUAAGGUAACGGCUUACCAAGGCAACGAUGCAUAGCCGACCUGAGAGGGUGAUCGGCCACACUGGAACUGAGACACGGUCCAGACUCCUACGGGAGGCAGCAGUAGGGAAUCUUCCGCAAUGGGCGAAAGCCUGACGGAGCAACGCCGCGUGAGUGAUGAAGGUCUUCGGAUCGUAAAACUCUGUUAUUAGGGAAGAACAUAUGUGUAAGUAACUGUGCACAUCUUGACGGUACCUAAUCAGAGGGCCACGGCUAACUACGUGCCAGCAGCCGCGGUAAUACGUAGGUGGCAAGCGUUAUCCGGAAUUAUUGGGCGUAAAGCGCGCGUAGGCGGUUUUUUAAGUCUGAUGUGAAAGCCCACGGCUCAACCGUGGAGGGUCAUUGGAAACUGGAAAACUUGAGUGCAGAAGAGGAAAGUGGAAUUCCAUGUGUAGCGGUGAAAUGCGCAGAGAUAUGGAGGAACACCAGUGGCGAAGGCGACUUUCUGGUCUGUAACUGACGCUGAUGUGCGAAAGCGUGGGGAUCAAACAGGAUUAGAUACCCUGGUAGUCCACGCCGUAAACGAUGAGUGCUAAGUGUUAGGGGGUUUCCGCCCCUUAGUGCUGCAGCUAACGCAUUAAGCACUCCGCCUGGGGAGUACGACCGCAAGGUUGAAACUCAAAGGAAUUGACGGGGACCCGCACAAGCGGUGGAGCAUGUGGUUUAAUUCGAAGCAACGCGAAGAACCUUACCAAAUCUUGACAUCCUUUGACAACUCUAGAGAUAGAGCCUUCCCCUUCGGGGGACAAAGUGACAGGUGGUGCAUGGUUGUCGUCAGCUCGUGUCGUGAGAUGUUGGGUUAAGUCCCGCAACGAGCGCAACCCUUAAGCUUAGUUGCCAUCAUUAAGUUGGGCACUCUAAGUUGACUGCCGGUGACAAACCGGAGGAAGGUGGGGAUGACGUCAAAUCAUCAUGCCCCUUAUGAUUUGGGCUACACACGUGCUACAAUGGACAAUACAAAGGGCAGCGAAACCGCGAGGUCAAGCAAAUCCCAUAAAGUUGUUCUCAGUUCGGAUUGUAGUCUGCAACUCGACUACAUGAAGCUGGAAUCGCUAGUAAUCGUAGAUCAGCAUGCUACGGUGAAUACGUUCCCGGGUCU
rnacentral:rRNA from 1 species